AUUGAACGCUGGCGGCAGGCCUAACACAUGCAAGUCGAACGAGUGGCGGACGGGUGAGUAAUGUCUGGGAAACUGCCUGAUGGAGGGGGAUAACUACUGGAAACGGUAGCUAAUACCGCAUACCAUCAGAUGUGCCCAGAUGGGAUUCGCUAGUUGGUGGGGUAACGGCUCACCAAGGCGACGAUCCUUAGCUGGUCUGAGAGGAUGACCAGCAACACGGGAACUGAGACACGGACGAGAGUCCUACGGGAGGCAGCAGUGGGGAAUAUUGCACAAUGGGCGCAAGCCUGAUGCGGCCCUGCCGCGUGUAUGAAUAUGGACUUCGGGUUGUAAAGUACUUUCAGCAGGGAGGCGUUACCCGAAGAAGAAGCACCGGCUAACGCCGUGCCAGCAGCCGCGGUAAUUC
rnacentral:rRNA from 1 species